AAGCCCCCGCCAGCCGACAGGAGUUUAUGCCUACACGGCAGGCAGGGCCGUGGUUAUCACUUCCUCUGCAGUAACACAGCAGGCCCCCGACAACCCUCUGGGGCGGAGACCUCCUCUGACCUGUUCCAGCUCUUUAUUUAAGCCAUGUGGCCUUUCUUUGGUCUCCUUUUCUGUGUUCGCCCUUUGAGUUGCCUGGUGUGAGCCGGAGGCUCCCUGCUUGGAGAGGCCACCUGACCAUCUCCCUCCCAGUUGGCUGAUUUCGGAAAAGCAGGGUCAGAACACACUUGCUCAUAAGGGUGUCUGGCCUCCAGCAGUGCCAUCCGGUCUGCUCUGACCCAGCCUCACGGUUGUCCUGGGAGUGCACGUCGUCGGGGGACAGUGGCCUCGGGCUCCCAGGGCUGUUCUCUGAGGGGGACCCCCAGAGCGCCUCCUCUGCUGCCCCCAGGAGGGGCUCACGGCUGCAGAUGCCCAGCCAGUACACCACAACGCUGUGAUGUACUUGGAAGAGGCUCAGCCCCUCUAGGGAGAGUCCCCGUCAGAAGGAGCAGAGGGGCCUCCACCCAGACCUGGGCCCGAGGUCUGGGAAUGAGGCACUCAUGCUGGGGCUCCUGACGCACCCCCACUCCAGCGCCAGCCACACAGUCAGCACGCCAUGGGCCCUGCCUGCCUGGACAUCGUCUGGCCUUCUUCCAUCCCACCUGCACAGUUUCUCCACCCCAGUUCAGGGGCUCAGAGGGCCAGGUGGCCCAGACCUCCAUGUGCGCACUGCUCUGAACUCCCCCAAUGUUCUGGAGGCUGCAGCAAGGUUGGGGUGGGAGCACAGGGAACCCUGGUUCCCAUGGGGAGGUCCAGACAGACUUGGGGUGUCUCGGAGCAGGGUGAGCCCUCUGGGACCAUGUUUCACUGGCCCUCCAGGCAACACAGGCCCAUGGACAAUGGUCCGCCAGAGCAGAACCCACUGAGGUGUAUCCCAGGUGUAGGGAGUGCCUCUGAGUAUAUUUAGAAUCUCGGUUUUCUUUCGUUUUUAACAAGGCAUGUGUAGAUCGUGGGGCCACCAGUCACCACCACCACCACCUGUGGGCCUGGGACCCAGGUUGGGGUGAGGGCACAGCAGCUGGGCCUGAGGUCUGGGGUGUGGACAGUGUCCUGAGAGGACCACCCCUCACCAAAUGGAGGAGCAGAAGAAUAAUAAGCAGGGAAAGCCUGGGUAGAUGCCAGACCUUGAAGGAACUUCCUGCUGGGGGGUGUCUUCCCCACGAGACCCCCAUCCUCCAGGUGGCAGCCAGGUGCACAGGUCGGUUCCCCAGCACAGUGAGUUGGCAAUUUCCAGCUGCUGGAAUUUCUUUGUUACUUUGUUUCAAUGCUGACUUGUUCCCAACUUUAGGAGCAUAAAUAAAUGAGACCUGUUUUUCUAA